AUGGACUUGGCUCCUACCUGAUCCGAGGUCACCUGGGAUAAAAUUUGGGUUGAUCGGCAAGCGCCGGCCGGGCCUACAGAGCGGGUGACAAAGCCCCAUACGCUCGAGGACCGGACGCGGUGCCGCCGCUGCCUUUCGGGCCCGUCCCCCGGAAUCGGAGGACGGGGCCCAACACACAAGCCGGGCUUGAGGGCAGCAAUGACGCUCGGACAGGCAUGCCCCCCGGAAUACCAGGGGGCGCAAUGUGCGUUCAAAGACUCGAUGAUUCACUGAAUUUGCAAUUCACAUUACGUAUCGCAUUUCGCUGCGUUCUUCAUCGAUGCCGGAACCAAGAGAUCCGUUGUUGAAAGUUUUAAAUAAUUUAUAUUUUCACUCAGACGACAAUCUUCAGGCAGAGUUCGGGGGUGUCUUCGGCGGGCGCGGGCCCGGGGGCGUGAGCCCCCCGGCGGCCAGUUAAGGCGGGCCCGCCGAAGCAACGAGGUAAAUAAACACGGGUGGGAGGUUGGACCCAAAGGGCCCUCACUCGGUAAUGAUCCUUCCGCAGGUUCACCUACGGAAGA
rnacentral:misc_RNA from 1 species